CAUGAAGUUUAAUAUUUGCUCAGUUUUAAUUACUGUUCAGUGAAAGAAAUAAUCCAGGAAACCAUGAAGGUGGUGUGACUGAGACAGGAAGAAGCCAGACUGGAAAACCAGAGACCCAUAUUCAGAAAGUAGCAUUUUAGUGCUUUCUAACUGGUGGAAAAUUAAUAGGUUGUGUUCUACAGAUUUCCCCUGUUUUUCAAGUGGGGAUAUUGUAUUUGCCAUAAUAACUCUAAUAUAUGACUUGAUUUUCAAAAUUAAAAAUUUAAGGAUGAAAAUAGUUACUCAGACAACUUAAUACUGGUGGUGGUGGCAACAGAGCAGUUGUUUUUAAU
rnacentral:lncRNA from 1 species